UGGACAAAAAUGUAAUCGCACAACAAUAUUAACAGUCUUCGGAUUUUAUUACAACAUCAAAACAAAGCCACAAGAAGACAUCCCACAUAAAUUCGAAAACUCAGCACUGAACAGAUAAACAGAAGAUGAUACACAUCGUCAUACGUAGCAACAAUCUUGUCCUUGAAUUAGUUAAAGUGAGACAUCUAAAAUCGAAGGAAAAGAAGGGAGAAAAGGAAAAUAUCACUAAGUUCUCUUGGCAAGGAGAUUCUAGGCUACUACAUCCACUAG
rnacentral:lncRNA from 1 species